rnacentral:misc_RNA from 1 species
CGCACAUUGCGCCCUUUGGUAUUCCGAGGGGCAUGCCUGUUCGAGCGUCAUUUCAACCAUCAAGCCCAGCUUGGUAUUGGACCCGGCCCUGGGGCCCGUCCGCAACCAGUCGGCGGUGCUGUAUAGCCUCAAGCGUAACAGAAAUCUCGCUUUUGGGGUGGUGCGGCGCCCGCCAGUUAAGCCAUUCUCUGAAGUUUGACCUCGGAUCAGGUAGGGUUACCCGCUGAACUUAA